GAAACCGACCAGCAUCCGCCCCCCUUCUUUCUUUUCCACGCGGAUUACUUCCGCCUAAAGCAACGGUUCCUCUUUCUCGGCCUUUCUUCCUCCUCCUCCUCCUCGCUUGCCACCCAACGCCCCCCCUCCCCCCCCCCCCCCCCCCCCCCCCGGCCCGAUCUAUUCUAGUAAAUCUAUAAAACGCACGCCAACACCACAAGCUUUUCUCUUCUCUUGAGCUCUCUGUCAGGUUUGAGAACGAUUCAGGACUCUGCUUCUAAGAUGGGAGCCAGCCAGUUCAUGACGGGCAACCAGGAUGCCUCUCCCGUGCCGAGCAACCAGGAUGCCUCUUUCAUGACGAGCAACCAGGAUGCCUCUUCCAUGACGAGCUACCAGGAUGCCUCUUCCAUGUCUCUCCCAAGUAUAGGCGCCGAAGGCUAUGCCAUGCCGGUCCCAAAAGGACCUCCUGUGAUGGCACCACCUGAGCGUGCAGCUCCACCACCAGAAAGACAUCCUGCUUUUGUUGGGGGAUGGUGCGUAUCUCAUCCAAUCUUCUCCUCCUCGUUUAUAACAAGUGCUGCGGCUGCUGGGAUUCGUCUGUCACACCUGACAAUUGAUGGUCUCCGUUCACCGCUGAUAUGGCCCUUCAUAAUGUUAAUUUCUUUUAUAUAAAUUUCUCCCCUUAUGUAUGCUUGUAGAUUGAUGGUAUUUCUUCAUGACAACGAGUGAUGUUAUAUGUAAAUAAAUACUUGCAUCCUCCCAAAUUAUGUUUUUGGCGUUCCAUAUUGCCUCGGAACUUAGAUUAGAUGAUUCAACGAUUAAACCUUCUUGUA